rnacentral:rRNA from 1 species
CCUACGGGGGGCUGCAGUGGGGAAUAUUGGGCAAUGGAGGAAACUCUGACCCAGCAACGCCGCGUGAAUGAUGAAGGUCCUCGGAUUGUUAAGCUCCUUUCUAAGGGAAGAAGAAAGUGACGGUACUUUAGGAAUAAGCCUCGGUUAACUACGUGCCAGCAGCCGCGGUAAUACGUAGGAGGCAUGCGUUAUCCGGAAUGACUGGGUGUAAAGGGUGCGUAGGUGGGUUGAUAAGUUGGUAGCGUAACUCCGCGGCUCAACCUCGGCACUACUACCAAAACUGUCGGACUUGAGUGCAGGGGAGGCAAGUGGAAUUCGUGGUGUAGCGGUGGAAUGCGUAGAUAUUAGGAAGAACACCAGUGGCGAAGGCAGGUUGCUGGACUGUAACUGACGCUGAGGCACGAAAGCGUGGGGAGCAAACAGGAUUAGAUACCCGGGUAGUC